rnacentral:lncRNA from 1 species
UGUUUAUUUAUUUAUCAAUCAUUGGAGGAAUUUAUGAAUCAGGGGAACUCGUCUGUUGGAUUUUUUUAAGUACUGUGAAGAAUUAGUUGAUUUUUUACCAUAUUUUGGAAAUUUAUUUUGUUUUUGAGAUGAGGAAUAAAUUGAUACCAUCUCUACUGACCUUUGAUAUGAAAACUACUCGAGCGCAUGAUGUAUAUCUGUUUUUGUUCAUUUCUGUAUCUUGCUGCUGACUGAAGCUGGAUUUUCAGGCUCGUUAUUAUCAUUUAUUCUUUUGAAGUUGCAAAAUGAAUUCUCAAUAUUUUCAGGGGAAAUGCUUAUAAUUAGCGCGGAGUUAAACAUUGAUUGUGUACUGUAGACUUCCAAAAGGCAAUUUAUUUCCAUUUAUUUGAGUAAACUAAAUCUCCGUGAUGGUAGCACUUAUUUAAUCACUUAUUAAAAAAUUCUUUGAAAAUUUGAUGAUUGUUGUUGAAAACAUUUACUAAUUGUAAAUGCGUUAAAUUACCCUUCCUUCUUCGUUUGCCGUCGUCACGAUGACCGGAAAAGGUACCCACCCCACUCCCUCUUUUGAUCAUCAUUUCGCAUACACUUUUCUUAAAUUUAAUUUUUUUUUAAAUUUUUUUCUCAUGUACCCUUGUGAUUCUUUUGCAUUCUUUAUUGGAUGUUAUUAAUUAUUAUUAAAAAAUUCUAAAAAAUAAAUAAAAAUCACGGCAGCUAGGAGUUGAAUGAAACUAUGGACUCUUUUUGAUAUUGUGGGAUUUGUGUCUGGGUGUGAGUGCACACAUUUUGAUCGGUAGCUAACUAAUGGAUGUCAUUUUUCCAUGUAUCAAUUUUCAGUUCAUAAUUUGUGUCUGAGUGUGAGUGCACAAAUUUUGAUCUGUAACUAAUUAAUGGAUAUCAUUGUUUAAAAUGUGAAAAAUUUAGUUUAUUCUAUGCUAGUUUUUCAUAACAUGAGUUGGACUGAGCUCAGUCAGUUGAUGCUCCAUGUUUUUGAUUCAUUGAAGGUACUAUGAAUUGGGACCUGAUGAUCCGCCAUAUGCUGCCAAGUUUUACGACUGCUGCGGGGCCGAGGAUGCUGAUGCCUCUGGUUGUACCACUGGCUUCCAUGUCUCUUAUGAUGAUGAUUAACAUAAUUUUUACCUCCUAAUCACCUGUAACUAUAGAUUAAAUUUGUAGAUAUCUCCGUGUCUCCUCCUGUGACCCACAUCAUUUCCACUGUUCUACCACUGUAUAAUUCAGGCCUUUCAUCAGUUUAUCUCUUCAUUUCUCAACAUUUUUCUUUUUUUUUUUUUCCUGGGGUUGAUCUGGCAUGAAUUCGACAUGUGCUGCUAUGGCCAACUUUCGAGGGAUGAUGGUAAAUCUAAACCCUUUUCCAUAAACUUCUGCAAUUAGUUGGUCUAGGGCAUUUGAAGAGCUUAUACUGGAAGCCAUUGCCUUCCCACAUCUUAAGUAAAGAGUAAUGCUACUUUGACAGAAAUAGGUUUACAAAAUUUUGACAUACUUAUGAAAUACUAAAUUACCUUUUAGUUUAUUUACAGAUAGCGAAUUGGGCUUUUUACAUAUUUUUGUAAGAAUCAACCUAAACUUAUAUUCAGGAAAGAAAUAACUGCAGAGGAGAAAAAAGUAAUGAGGCGAUAGAAAAUUAUGCCAAAAUUAAUAGUAAGGCAUUUGAGAUUGCAGUAGAACUUCUCAAUAAUCAUAUUAUUAGGAUCAAUUGAUUUUGUUACUAUAAGGAGGUUAAAACUUUGUAGAGGUUUAGUUCAAAAUUACUAUCUUGACUUCAUUAUUCUUAGUGUAAGUAAGAUAAUUAAUAAAUAAUUAAUGAAGUGUGUCAAUUCUAUGAAGCUUCAAACAUGCUUGAAUACUUAAAAAUAUUUUGUCUUCAACAAGAAGGUGUGUAUAUUAUUGAAUUAUUUUUGCAAUAUACAAAUAAUUAUUAUUAUGUGGAGGCAAUUUCAAAGAUGUGAUAACAAUUUUAAAGAAUAAAUCAUUGUCUCAAACAAUUUUAAAAAAUAUUUUUUUCUAUACUAAAUCUUUUAAAGUAACAAAUAUGUUUUGCAAUACACAUAUAAUUAUUAUUAUGUGGAGAUAAGUUACUAAAGUCAGAAUCUAAAACACUUAUUACAAUUAGAGUUAAUUCUUAUUUAUAAUUUACUUAAAUUAAAGUUAAAAUUUUUUUAUCACUAUAAAAGAGUUAUUUCUAUAUAGAUAAUCACUAUAAAUAUAGAGUAUCACUAUAAAAAAGUUUUACGAUCAAUCAUCCGUCAUAAUAAGCACAAGAAUGACAAGUUUUGAUUCUCAAAUAAAUUCUUAUAAAACACAACCAUGGAUUAAGAUUGUCGGGAAAUGGGAAUGCAAUACAAAGUAAUUAAUGACACAGUCUCAGUGUUUCACUUACACGUGAAGCAAACGAAACAAGAAGAAUCUUAAGAAAAAAACACUCACCAGAACGCAAGGUUCAAUCCCGGUUUACUACGUCAACCUCCAUUCCUCAAAGAGAUUGGAAACACGUCAACCUUCAUCUCCACCAGUAUUCACCUCCACGAAUAAGAAUUCUGCGCCCAUUUGCACUAUUUGAAUCGAGUGGAAGCUUUUUAAGCGAAUCGCAAACCCAAACUUGCAAUACUUUCAGACGUGGGAGAGGCAAGGGCUUCCAGUAAAUGCUCUUCAAACGGACCAGUCCUCCUAACUCAAGACGCUGGAGUUUUGCAAAAGGGCUGUUUAUUAUUCCCGUCAUCUCAGGAAUGUCAUCAAACUCUCCAGCACUGAUUAUUUCUUCCAUGUCAUCGCAAUAGCUUACGGAAAUAGACUUGAGGUUUGGAGCAAAAACGAGGAAUGUCAAGUGUUUCAAAUUUCUGCAAAAGCGUACGGUAACUUUCUCAAGGCUGCGGAAAACAUAAGGUUGGCGCGAUUUUUGUACCAUAUCAUUGCAGUCAAUCUUCAGUCCCUUAAUACAACCACAACUAAAAAAGUCUAAUGUAUUGAGCUGCUCUAGAUCGGCUAAAUCUGCAACAUCGAUCGACUCCUCCCUAUCGAAGCGAUGGAGCAAGAGAGCUUGAGUACAACUUCGUAACUUCUGUGAGCUCAAAAAUGUUUGGUAAGCCUCAAAACUCCUGAAGGAGAUCUCCAGUACCUCUAAAUAUUUCAAACCGAGCAAUUCCUCUGCUACAUUCUCAUGCCAAGAGCUAAGUAAAAAACCAGUAGCAAACAUUCUCAACACACGUAACCUUGAAAAAUUAGAUAACAGUUGCUGUGGAACUACAACUAACUCUUUUGCCCAGACCAAAUUCAAACAUUUAAGAUUUACCAACGCUUUUAACUCUUCGGGUAACUCUGUAACGCUUGUAUUUGAAAUAUCAAGGAGUUGUAGUGAAACCAACUUUGAGAUCCCCAUUGGUAACUGCCGUAGCGUUUCAUUAUCUGACAUCUUCAAAACUGUUAGACAAGACAUAGACUGGAAGAAGCCACCGGUGAUCGUCCUCAACGGAUUACGGUUAAGAAACAAAGUAAGAAGAUGAGGGCAUGUCGGAACAGUUGGUAGAUUAUCAAUUGAAUUUCUCAUCAAUGAUAAUCUUCUCACAAUUUCCCAUCCUCUGACAUCUGCCUCCCUUAAUCCGGAACCUGCAUAAACCAAAAAGCCCUCCUUCUCCUUCUCAAUCUCACAAGUUAUCCACAAUGCCAUAUCGCGGAUGACGUCAUGCAUUUUUACUUGAUCAUCUUCUACCUCUUCCAAUAAACAUGCAUGAACAAGAGUGCCCACGAUAUAGUAUCCUCGGUUUUGUGUGCCAAACUUGUCUUCUUCCAAAAACCCCUCGCACAUCCAGCAAUCAAUCAAGUCUCUUUUAUCUAUGCCGUAAUCUUCCGGAUAUAAACAACAAUAUAAGAAACAAGAUCUGAUUGCAUCGCUUGGCAAGCAAUCAUAGCUGAAUUUUAAAAGAGGAUAUACCUCCUUUCCCAAACCUGUAAAUUCGGAAGCUGAUCUUCUUAAAACUUCAAUCGCAUAUCUCCAUUCUUCAGGAGUCUUUUUGUAGGCCAUGGCUCGACCAAUAGUAAUAAGCGCGAGCGGCAAUCCACCGCACUCCUUUGCCACAGUUUGAGCUAGUUGAGGAAUACUAUGAUGACUCUCAAUAGUUUCUUCCCCAACUUUCUCUCGAAAUAGUUCCCAAGCAUCCUCAUCGGAUAAGCAUGCCACUUUGAACUUCGUUCGAGCUUCCAUACCGCCACAAACAUCAACGAAACGGGUUGUAAAUACUACUGCACUAUUCUUUGGAAGAGGGACACCAAUCUUCUUUAGAUCAACCCGCUCCCAUAGAUCAUCCAACAACAAAGCAAACUUCUUCUUGCUUAAAGUCUUGAAGAUGUCCUGAGCUUUCUCUUCGAGACUUUUGUCCUUCCAUGAAUCAUUAUAUAGACCUAUCUUUUUCCCGAUAGUUUCUUGAAUUUUUUCAAGCUGCAGGUCUUUUGACACCACAACCCAAAUCACAGAAUCAAAAUCUGUUGGAUUAUCAACAAAUUUAUUAUUGAUUUGGGUUAACAGUGUAGUUUUACCGACACCGCCCAUGCCGUAUAGGCCAAUUAUACCAGCUGCAGGUUCUUGUACAAGACAUCUCCAAACUUGUUCAAGUUGUGAUUGCAAGCCUACCACCGUUGGCUCAGUAGGUCUUUCAUCUGCCACAGAUAUUAAUUCUGGAUCUGGCGCGGCCACCUCUUCAAAAACUCCUUCCCCCUUUAAGGCCUUCACAUCUCGCAGCCUUUUAGCAACUUUUCUACCAAACUUGUAGCUUGACUUGCAGUUCCUGGAGCAGUAGCCUCCAAGACACAAUUUGUCAAUUUCCUGAGAGCCACCAUCUCUUCCCAUGAGUUCAUCAACUUCAGUUUUAAGAGUCUCCACCCUCGAAAGCCAAACCUGCACUUGGUUCAGCCUCUUCAUUUUGUGUUGGUGUUCAGCAUUGAGGACCCUCGUCAUCACAUCAUUCUUUGCAGCGAUUAGUUGUUCCAAUUCAGUCGUCAAGGCAACAACAUUAUCUUUGAGGUCAGUUAUAUAUGCCGCUUUGCCAAGAGCGCAGUCUGGGCAACGAUUGAACAUUGCGCCAACAUCGCAAGAGAUUUGCAAAAUGUUACCCAUAAUGGAUCUCACUUGUAUGUAUGAAUUCAACCAAGAGAGAAACAAAGGAAUUUAACUUCACCAGUUUGAUGAACAGAAGCUGCUGUCGCGGAUUAAUUGAGAUAGAACAUUAGUUAUUGAAUAAUGUAAUCAGCUCUGUUUGUACCCAACUCACUAAAAAAAGUAACAAAAAGGAACAUUAGUUAUUGAAUAAUGUCCAAUACGUAUUAGCAAAGUGGGUAAGUUAUAUUUAAUGUAACCUACGGUCAGUCUGUGAAAUUGUAUCUAGUCUCCUAUGUUCUAUGUUAUUUAUAUUUUAUUCAUAAAUAUUAUAAAUAUUUUGAAAUAUAAAAUUCCGUUUAACCCCUUAUACUCAAUUUUAUUUUAUUGAAACCCUAGAGUAUGAAUUCCCCCCAUAAUUUUAAAUUCUCAAAAUAACCUCCAUUUAAUUAAAAAAUAUAAUUAUUUUUAAAUAAAUUAUAAUUAUAAUUAUUAUUUUAUUAUAAUCAUAAAUAUUUUUUAAAAUAGAUUAUUAUUAUUAUUAUUAUUAUUAACAAGAAUAAAAAGCAUUAUAAUUAAUUAAUCUAUUAACAAUAAUUAAUAAUAUUUUUUAUUAAAUUGUUAAUAAUAAUAAUAAUUAAUGAUUAUCUAACUAAUAGGAAAUGUAUUGCUAAUGCUACCUUCGACUUUAAAUACUCAUUAUCGGGUUUCAAGAGACCAAUGAAUGACAAUUUCUGUCAAAAUUUUAAGCUUGACCCAAUAAAAAUAAUUUUACAUUUAAAAAACUAGAAGUAAGAAAAAUGUGUUUACAUCCUCGAAGGUGUAACAACUUAGCAAAAAGCACUUAAAAAUUACCGUUUAAUAAUGAGAUGCCUACGAAACUAUUAUUUAUCAAAGUAACAAAAAAUCCUGAAAGUACUUGAAAUUAAAAAGUAUAGAAAUAUAAAAGAGUCUCCUACAUAAAUAUGGACUCAAUGUUUAUUCCAUUUUAUUAUAAUCAUAAAUAUGUUAAUUAUCAAAAUUUCUGUCAAAAUUUUUGUUUCCUCCUUUCUAUCUUUCAUAUCAGCAUUAUUUUUGUCUUGAUUAUUGAAUAGUUGAAUAUGUAUGUGUGUGGGGGCAUAUAAUAUAUAGUACUUAGAUUUUGUUUAAUUUUCUAUUGUUAACUUGAUUAUUUGUGGCAUUAAUUUAAUAUGAUUUACAUCUUUUUGGUUGUAGUAUUGAUGAGGUUCCUUUAUAUGAUGACCCAAUUUUUUUUUUUUUUUUUUGGUCUUCAUUUGUUUAAUUAUGAGAAAAAUAAAAUAGUAAUAAGAUUGGUCAAUUUGGGUAAACAAUUAAUGAACUAAUGUAGUAUAUCUCAUCUCACUCCCCUAGCAUAUCAUAAAUUUCCAAAAUUUGUCUUCAAUCGAUUAAACAUAAAUUUCAAAAUUCUUUAAAAAAAAAAAAGCCAAUACCGAUCCUUUAAAGUUUAAAACAUCCAAAAAGGAAAAAAAAAAAAAAAUCAUCUAUUAGCAUAUGGUAAAAGCAUAAUUCGACUAAAGUUGGGACAUGGCAUGUGGUAGACAUGUGGAUUGAUUGCUUGUGUUAUUGAAUCGUUGUAUCAUCGACUUCGCAUUAUUAAUAAGCUUUUUAACUUUUAUGAUUUUAUAAUAAACAGUAGGGGUUUAAGUGUUAAUAACCAAUUGAACACAUUUCAACGGUUGAACACUUUAACCCUCGUAUCAAAUGGCUGAACCAGAAAAUGACAAAGUUUGGGGUACCGUGCAACUGUUGCACGGUAGGCGGACCCUAUUGAAUAAUGUAAUCAAGUCAUGGGUAGACGGAUGAAUCCUAUAAAUCUAUAGGCGGACCCUAUAGAUUGAUUAGUCAAGUAAGGGAAAUGGGUCCGUAACUUUCAAGCAAGACUUGACGUCCUGUCCCUUGCCUCCUCACCAUACCAUUAAAGUUUUGAAGUUAGGCCAAUUAGAUUAAAGGUGAGAUGGAAUGGAUUUAUGGAGUCGUUGAUUACUGAACGUAUUUGCCAAUCUAUUGGACGUAUUAAAGUUCUUUCCCUUUCAACAUUAUUGAACGUAUUUUGCAGGGAAACCUCCUCUAUCUUUCUUCCCAUUAACGUCCAAUUAAGACUUUUGUGUAUCCAAUUAAUGUCCAUUAACUUGAAGAUUGAAGAGGGCCAGCGUUAUUUCAAAGUCAAGAUUGGCUUAUUAGCUUGCAGAAUUCUUGAUAUGAGUUAAAAAAAUAAAUAAAUAAGGUUGAAAAGGAUUAGGAUUAGCUUAGUUUUUAUUGAUCAUUGAAUUAAUGGUUAGGAUUUAUUUUAUAUUUUACUUUUUUCAUCUAAUUACCAAUCUAGUGGUCAGCACUGAAUUGAAUACUUGUCUAAUUGAAAGGUAAUGGGUAAAAGGUUUUUAAAACUUUAAAUAUUUUUGUGAAUUUUUGAGCAGCAGCCAAAUUCCAAGAUUCUCAACAAUUUUUGAGCCAAUCCCAAAGGAGAUUUAGUUUACUAUACACAUGCCACUUCUUAAUAAUUAAGAUCUACAUAAAUGACUUUUAAUUUUGUAUGAUGAUCUCUUCCUCUUUGGAACAGAUACUCAAAUUUUAUUCAUCGUGACUGUGUUGAUCAAAACCGAUAUUAAUCAAUCUUGUAUUCAAGUACACUCAACCAAUUCUGUUUUCUUACAGAAUUGUUCAGAAAUAAAGAACUGUAAUUACCUCCAAAAUCAAACAAAUAAUAACCAAUAUGUUAUAUUUUUUAAUUGGUUUUUUUCCCCUUCAAAUAAUGGAGUCCAUAGUGCAGUUUUGACUGGCACAUGUACUAAGAUAUGAAAGUUAAUGUACAAAAUGGAAGAAUAAUAAAAUCAUGUCCGAAAUUAUUAAUUCUCAGGUGCAACCUAAAUUUAGAUGUAUCUUAAUUCUUAAAAGGAGAAAAAAAAAAAGAGUCAAUCAUUGUUAGAGCUUCAAGAGCUUUGAGAUCUUAUUGGUUUAUUUUAUUAUUAGUAUUUGGCGUUUUUCGCUUUCAGGAUAGUCGCAACAAAUAGAUUCUUGAAAGAGCGGUGCUAUUGGCACCUUCUUAAAACUCAAUUGAAACCCCAUUUUCAUGUUUAUAGCUUUAUUCUUAGUUAAAAUUACACAAAAGGACAAAAGAAAUUUAAUUAAAAUUUAAUUUUCUUUUCUUUUUGUUACUAAUUCUUCAAACCCAAUAAAUUACUUUAUUGGGAUUUUUGUUAUUUUUGCCUUUAAUUUCUUUUUUUUUUGUAAGUAAAAUAAGUGCCCACUUGGUGAAGAAAAUCCAAUAAUUUGAUAAAAAUCUAAUAAAUUUCUUGGACCUUUUUUUCUUAAUUAUUUCCAAAAUCAUUUUGGAACUAAAAAAAAUUGAAUCCCAUAUACAUUAGAUACUGAAAAUAAAGAGUUUAUGAUGUGUGGGUAUGAACUGCGAAGAGUUAAAAAGAAAAUACGUACAUGGAUUGGGGUUUAAUAAUUUUGUAUUUGUAGUUUUAUGUAAUUUUCUCUGGUGAAAGAGCUGUUAAUGAAAACGGGGUUUCAUAAGAAUAACGAGGGGGUGCCAAUAGUAUUACUCUUCUUGAAAAUCAUAUGAGAAAGACAAAUAGCCCAAAAACAAAGUGCCUGUAUCUUUAAAUUUAUUAUAGAGUAGUAAUUUUUAUUUUUUUUUUAAAAAUUGCUCUACCUUUUUUUUUUCAAAACCUUAACUAAAAUAUUAAAAUUGUGAAAAUUAGGAAUCUGGUCAGGAUGAUAUUCUGAGUCCCAUUUUCAUUUUCAUUUAUUGAAAAUAAGUUGAACAACUGUUCGGUAUAAUGUUCUAAUAAAAUGAAUUAUGAAAUAAAAAAUACAGAUUUUACUUUUGUUUACUCAAAAAGUUGAAGAACGACAUUUUUAUGGUUUUAUUGAAUUUCAAGAAUGGAAGCCAUUCUCUCAUCUUUAUCUUAUAUUAGCGUCCAUGGUAAUUAAAAUGGUUUUUGUAUCAAAUUGAUAAGAUUGAAACAUCUAAUGCUACAAUGGCUUUUGUGAUUAUUUUAAAUUUGAAGUUAAAAUUUGAUAAAACUAAUAAGUUUUAUUGAGCAGAAGAUGAGUGGAAGGACUUUUUCUAUGAUAUUUAGCCGAACAAAAAGAUAAAAUAAAAUGUUCAAGGACUUUAAAAAAAUGUCGUCAUAUUUUGCUUGUACCAAUGAAACAGUAGUUGUGAAAAAGGAUUAAAAUAAUAUUUUCAAAUGAGAUUUUUCUCUAUACCUUAUCAUACCUUUUAUUUGAAUAUCUUUCUUCGUAUAUAAAUUUAUGAUUACAUUUAUCAGAUGCUCUAUAAUAUAUUUCAUUUACUGAAAAUUUUUAUUAUUAAAUGUAAUGAACAAUUUAAUCUUUUUAUAAGUGUUUACUGUGUGAUACCAAAAAAUAAAUAAACUCUAAAUAAUCCAUUGACAUAAAUAUAAACUAUAUGUUUAAGUUAAAAAAAAAAGUUUCAAUCCAAUGCUACCGAACAAGUAUUACAGUUUUUUUAUUUAAAAUAUAAGUUUCAAAAACUCAUACUGAACACAUACUUAUAUUUAGAAUACUAGUUUCAAAAACAUCAUUUUUAUUUUUGUUUUUGUUCUAUAAAAACAUCAAUUGACAAUAAUAAAGACAAAGAAUUGAAAAUUUUAAUAAGAAUUAAUCUAACUACUCUCUUUAAAAGGAAAAAAAAAAGAAAAAAGAAAAAAGAAAAUAUCUAACUACACUCACUUUCUAAAAAUAUUAAUACAUAUAAUUACACUAAAACCCCUAUACAUUUUUAUUUUACCAAAUAAUUAUGUGAUUAAUAUUUAUUUAUAAAAUAUAACAAUUAUGUGAUUAAUAUAAUAUUAAUUUUAUAAUCUCAACUCAAUGGUCAUAUCAAGAGCAUAUUUAAUUAUUUUAUUUUUAAUCUACAAUUGAGAUGUCACACCAUGGAGUUAAAGCGGUUGUUAUCAUUUUGUUUUCUGAUUUAAUUUCUAUUUUAAAAAUAAUUUGAGACCCCGUGAGCAUUCAACGAAUGAUUUGCGAGUUUGGAGGAGUCCAUGCAUAUGGGGCCCACUGGUCGUUUGAUGAUUGAUUAUGUCACAUGAUUCCUGCCACAUACGAUUAUUAUCCACCCUUUAUCUCUUUUUUUUUUUUCUUUAAUAAAUAACCCUCUUUACUCAUUUCACUUCCAAAUUCAUGUUCAUGCCCUUACACUAUUGAUUUAUCUAUUUUUUAUUUUACAUUUUUUUUUACUCUUCCUCAUGUUAUUGUCCCUUUCUUUUUCCUUAGCAGUAAUGUUCCCAAAUUUAAUCGAGAAACAAAGAUAUAAAUGAUAGAACUUAUUAGUUUGAUAAUUUAUAAACUCGCAAUAGAUGAUACUCAUUUUCAUUCCUAGAUAAAUGCAAUACGGCCGUGUAUAAAAUACGUCGAGAUUUGGGAAAAACGUGGCCCUAAGGCCUUUUUAGUAAGAUUAGGGAUUUCACUGAAAUUUAAUUCCUUUAAAAUGUGAAGUUUACGUUUUGCACCCUUUGAAUUUACAGUUUCUUAUUUAUGGCAUCUCAAUUUGGCUUCUCUCGAAUAUGGUCCACGUUAAACCAAAAUUAUAAUUGCACCACUAAAUAUGACAGUACUGGAAAACUAUUUGAAGUGGAAAGUUAGUGAGUUUCUAUUUUUUUUUAAGGAUAUAUUUUAAGUAUUAUAUAGAUAAAAAUUAACUAUCUACCUAAGUAACCAAGCGAGCAAUUUAAACUUUAGACCUCUUUUACAUCAACGGAUUAUGUUUGGCAGACUCAAUUUGUCAAUAACUAGAUAUAUGUUACGACAGACUCAAUUUGGGGCAGAUUCUAAGGUAAGGAAAUUGAAAAUGCCUAUUUUCGAAGGUGAGGAUGCCUAUGGAUGGGUGUAUAGGGUAGAGCGCUAUUUCGCCAUCAAUGGACUCUAAGAAAGGGAAAAAUUGAUGGCGGCGGCGUUAUGUUUGGAGGGAAAGGCCCUUGCGCAGUUUCAAUGGUGAGAACAACGAAAACCGUUGAGGUCAUGGGAUGAGUCUAAAGAUCGGCUAUUGGAGAGGUUUCAGGGCACUCAAGAGGGAGAUUUGCAUGAACAAUUUUUUACUUUGACCCAGGAUAGAAUGGUUAUGGAGUAUAAGGAGAAGUUUGAGUUACUAUUAGGGCGUUUAUGGGGAAUUCCAGAGGCGGUAUUGGAAGGAAAUUUUAUGAAGGGACUGAAGCCAGAAAUCCGAGCCUCGCUACGCUUGCUAAGGUCGAGAGGGUUAGGGGAGUCAAUGGAGUUGGCACAAUUGGUUGAGGAUAAGAGCACGAUAGAACGGGUUAAUAGGAGCAAUUCAGUCAAUUUUUCAUACCAAAACAACACGCCAUUGGUAGGACAGAAAACCCAGACUUUGGGGUUCCAGCGAGAGUUCCAAAGUACACCACUAGGAGGCCAGAAAAUGCAAAUGGUGGAUUUAUAGAGAGAUUCCCAAAGGGAUUGGGAUAGUGGGGCACGACUGGGGGUGACUUUCGAACGCCUCAUGGAGACAGAGAUUCAGGAUAAGAGGGCGAAGGGGUUGUGCUUUCGAUGUGAUGAGAAAUUUUCACCAGGGCAUCGAUGUAAGGAUAAAUCACUACAAGUCCUGACUGUGUGUGAUGAGGAAGAAGGCUAGAAAGAAGCUGAAGAAGAAGACGCAGUAAUUUCCUAGAUUUCACCUUGAGGACAAUGUGUCUUUUUGGGAGGAGAGUAAUGUUUGACCAAUGAAAAUUUAAAUGCAAUUAUAAAGAGGCAAGGGCACUUUAGUAAUCUUAGAGACGGAGACAGUUUAAUAAUUUUAUUAUUAAUUAGGGUUUAAAUAUAAAUAAAAAAUUAUGGAGUCACUUAGAAUUUAUUAGUGUUGUUUUGGUGCAUAAUUGAUUUUGAUACCAUUACGCCCUAUUAUUCCUUUGUUCAGCACGGAGUAAUUUUGUUUUCAUCCACACUUUGAUUGAAGCUCUGCCGGCGAAAGUGCUGACUACUAUUGCACGGACCUACGCUAUCUUUGACAACUUAAGACAUUUAUCCUAGGACAAUGUGACCUAUAGUGGCUGACAAAUGCCUGCUUUAUUUAAUUCUCAAGCACCUGUCAUCUGAGCAAUGUUAAAUCAAUUAAUUGUGCCUUUUUUAUUACCACAUAUCUUCUUUGGCCUUGAACCAUUCAUUUUUGCCAAGGGUUGACUCUUUUUCCUCAUGGUGAGCUGAAGCUGUAUACUGCUUUUGUGGAAUCUUGGCAUCCAACACUAAAUUAAGAUUUCAGCCUUCAAACUUAUAAUGCAAGAUAUUAGAUAGUGUUUGGGUGGCUCCUGAAUAGUGCCAAAAAGAAUGAGUCUUGGCCACCAUUGCUGAAUUUUGUUUAACCUUUAACACAAUGAUGACUUCAUCUUGCUACAUUUACAUAUAACAGAUUUCAUUAUCUUCUUAGGAUUUACUGGAGGGUCUGAAUCAACUGGAAGAAGGUUUGAAGGAUAAUACUAAGAGAUUGAGUUCUUUCGACAAGUACAUGCAAGAAGUCCUCCUUGGCCAUCUCGACUGGUCCCCCAUGCACAAAGAUUCCCUAUUCUGGGGUGAUAAUAUCACAAACUUUGAAGAAAAUGAUUUCCAGGUAUUUCUUUUCCCCAUGGACGGUGUUUCUAGUUUUUAUUUUUCAUUUUUUCUGCUUUAACCGCACUGAAUGACCCUGCUAAUAUCUGUAUCGUCUCGUUCAGCAUCAUUUUGUAUAAAUACCUACAAAGUUUCUGUAAUACUAAUGGAUAAUCUUCUCUCUCAGAUUCUAAGGGUCCUCUUAACAAUUUUGGAUACAUCCAGUGAUCCACGAGCUCUUGCUGUCGCUUGCUUUGAUCUCUCACAGUUUAUCCAGUACCAUCCAGCUGGGCGGGUCAUUGUGACAGACCUCAAAGCCAAGGAACGGGUGAUGAAAUUGAUGAACCAUGAGAAUACCGAGGUUACCAAGAGCGCCUUACUCUGCAUCCAAAGGCUUUUCCUAGGCGCAAAGUACGCGAGCUUUUUGCAGGCCUGAAUUCUCUUUCUAUGGGGUCCAGUAUUGUUUACAAAGGAAAUGCUUGUAAUGAUUUGAUUCCAGUUUGGCUGGUUAGGUUGUUUAUUUAUUUAUCAAUCAUUGGAGGAAUUUAUGAAUCAGGGGAACUCGUCUGUUGGAUUUUUUUAAGUACUGUGAAGAAUUAGUUGAUUUUUUACCAUAUUUUGGAAAUUUAUUUUGUUUGUGAGAUGAGGAAUAAAUUGAUACCAUCUGUACUGACCUUUGAUAUGAAAACUACUCGAGCGCAUGACAUAUAUCUGUUUUUGUUCAUUUCUGUAUCUUGCUGCUGAC